UUAAGCGACUAAGCGUACACGGUGGAUGCCCUGGCAGUCAGAGGCGAUGAAGGACGUGCUAAUCUGCGAUAAGCGUCGGUAAGGUGAUAUGAACCGUUAUAACCGGCGAUUUCCGAAUGGGGAAACCCAGUGUGAUUCGUCACACUAUCAUUAACUGAAUCCAUAGGUUAAUGAGGCGAACCGGGGGAACUGAAACAUCUAAGUACCCCGAGGAAAAGAAAUCAACCGAGAUUCCCCCAGUAGCGGCGAGCGAACGGGGAGCAGCCCAGAGCCUGAAUCAGUGUGUGUGUUAGUGGAAGCGUCUGGAAAGGCGUGCGAUACAGGGUGACAGCCCCGUACACAAAAAUGCACAUACUGUGAGCACGAUGAGUAGGGCGGGACACGUGGUAUCCUGUCUGAAUAUGGGGGGACCAUCCUCCAAGGCUAAAUACUCCUGACUGACCGAUAGUGAACCAGUACCGUGAGGGAAAGGCGAAAAGAACCCCGGCGAGGGGAGUGAAAAAGAACCUGAAACCGUGUACGUACAAGCAGUGGGAGCACGCUUAGGCGUGUGACUGCGUACCUUUUGUAUAAUGGGUCAGCGACUUAUAUUCUGUAGCAAGGUUAACCGAAUAGGGGAGCCGAAGGGAAACCGAGUCUUAACUGGGCGUUAAGUUGCAGGGUAUAGACCCGAAACCCGGUGAUCUAGCCAUGGGCAGGUUGAAGGUUGGGUAACACUAACUGGAGGACCGAACCGACUAAUGUUGAAAAAUUAGCGGAUGACUUGUGGCUGGGGGUGAAAGGCCAAUCAAACCGGGAGAUAGCUGGUUCUCCCCGAAAGCUAUUUAGGUAGCGCCUCGUGAAUUCAUCUCCGGGGGUAGAGCACUGUUUCGGCAAGGGGGUCAUCCCGACUUACCAACCCGAUGCAAACUGCGAAUACCGGAGAAUGUUAUCACGGGAGACACACGGCGGGUGCUAACGUCCGUCGUGAAGAGGGAAACAACCCAGACCGCCAGCUAAGGUCCCAAAGUCAUGGUUAAGUGGGAAACGAUGUGGGAAGGCCCAGACAGCCAGGAUGUUGGCUUAGAAGCAGCCAUCAUUUAAAGAAAGCGUAAUAGCUCACUGGUCGAGUCGGCCUGCGCGGAAGAUGUAACGGGGCUAAACCAUGCACCGAAGCUGCGGCAGCGACGCUUAUGCGUUGUUGGGUAGGGGAGCGUUCUGUAAGCCUGUGAAGGUGUGCUGUGAGGUAUGCUGGAGGUAUCAGAAGUGCGAAUGCUGACAUAAGUAACGAUAAAGCGGGUGAAAAGCCCGCUCGCCGGAAGACCAAGGGUUCCUGUCCAACGUUAAUCGGGGCAGGGUGAGUCGACCCCUAAGGCGAGGCCGAAAGGCGUAGUCGAUGGGAAACAGGUUAAUAUUCCUGUACUUGGUGUUACUGCGAAGGGGGGACGGAGAAGGCUAUGUUGGCCGGGCGACGGUUGUCCCGGUUUAAGCGUGUAGGCUGGUUUUCCAGGCAAAUCCGGAAAAUCAAGGCCGAGGCGUGAUGACGAGGCACUACGGUGCUGAAGCAACAAAUGCCCUGCUUCCAGGAAAAGCCUCUAAGCAUCAGGUAACAUCAAAUCGUACCCCAAACCGACACAGGUGGUCAGGUAGAGAAUACCAAGGCGCUUGAGAGAACUCGGGUGAAGGAACUAGGCAAAAUGGUGCCGUAACUUCGGGAGAAGGCACGCUGAUACGUAGGUGAAGCGACUUGCUCGUGGAGCUGAAAUCAGUCGAAGAUACCAGCUGGCUGCAACUGUUUAUUAAAAACACAGCACUGUGCAAACACGAAAGUGGACGUAUACGGUGUGACGCCUGCCCGGUGCCGGAAGGUUAAUUGAUGGGGUUAGCGCAAGCGAAGCUCUUGAUCGAAGCCCCGGUAAACGGCGGCCGUAACUAUAACGGUCCUAAGGUAGCGAAAUUCCUUGUCGGGUAAGUUCCGACCUGCACGAAUGGCGUAAUGAUGGCCAGGCUGUCUCCACCCGAGACUCAGUGAAAUUGAACUCGCUGUGAAGAUGCAGUGUACCCGCGGCAAGACGGAAAGACCCCGUGAACCUUUACUAUAGCUUGACACUGAACAUUGAGCCUUGAUGUGUAGGAUAGGUGGGAGGCUUUGAAGUGUGGACGCCAGUCUGCAUGGAGCCGACCUUGAAAUACCACCCUUUAAUGUUUGAUGUUCUAACGUGGACCCGUGAUCCGGGUUGCGGACAGUGUCUGGUGGGUAGUUUGACUGGGGCGGUCUCCUCCUAAAGAGUAACGGAGGAGCACGAAGGUUGGCUAAUCCUGGUCGGACAUCAGGAGGUUAGUGCAAUGGCAUAAGCCAGCUUGACUGCGAGCGUGACGGCGCGAGCAGGUGCGAAAGCAGGUCAUAGUGAUCCGGUGGUUCUGAAUGGAAGGGCCAUCGCUCAACGGAUAAAAGGUACUCCGGGGAUAACAGGCUGAUACCGCCCAAGAGUUCAUAUCGACGGCGGUGUUUGGCACCUCGAUGUCGGCUCAUCACAUCCUGGGGCUGAAGUAGGUCCCAAGGGUAUGGCUGUUCGCCAUUUAAAGUGGUACGCGAGCUGGGUUUAGAACGUCGUGAGACAGUUCGGUCCCUAUCUGCCGUGGGCGCUGGAGAACUGAGGGGGGCUGCUCCUAGUACGAGAGGACCGGAGUGGACGCAUCACUGGUGUUCGGGUUGUCAUGCCAAUGGCACUGCCCGGUAGCUAAAUGCGGAAGAGAUAAGUGCUGAAAGCAUCUAAGCACGAAACUUGCCCCGAGAUGAGUUCUCCCUGACCCUUUAAGGGUCCUGAAGGAACGUUGAAGACGACGACGUUGAUAGGCCGGGUGUGUAAGCGCAGCGAUGCGUUGAGCUAACCGGUACUAAUGAACCGUGAGGCUUAACCUU
rnacentral:rRNA from 1 species